AUGAAGUUAAAUGCUUCUCCAGGGCCAGAUGGUUUUAAUGUCGAGUUUUAUUUGGCUACUUGGGAUUGGAUAGGAGACGAUGUCACUCAAUUGGUAGUCAAUUUUUAUAGAACAGGUAUAUUGCCCCCUCACGUGAGUGAUACAAACAUUGCUCUCAUUCCUAAAAAACUUGUUCCUCAGGUUCCUAUGGAAUAUCGUCCCAUUAGUCUUUGCAAUGUUAUUUAUAAAAUCAUUGCCAAAUCUUUAGCUAAUUGUCUUAAGCCUCAUCUUCUAGAUUAUAUUGACCCUGCUCAACAAGCUUUCAUUGAAGGUAGAAGAAUUAGUGACAAUAUCAUUAUU
rnacentral:rRNA from 1 species